AGCAGCCGCGGUAAUUCCAGCUCCAAUAGCGUAUAUUAAAGUUGUUGCAGUUAAAAAGCUCGUAGUUGAACUUCAGGCCUGUCCAGACGGUCCGCCUUAAUUGGUGUGUACUGUCCUUGGGUGGGUCCUACCUUCUGGCGAAGCGGCAUGGCCUUAAUUGGUUGUGUCGGGGAACCAGGACUUUUACUGUGAAAAAAUUAGGGUGUUCAAAGCAGGCAAAUAUGCUCGAAUACAUUAGCAUGGAAUAAUGGAAUAGGACGAUGGUUCUAUUUUGUUGGUUCUAGGACCGUUGUAAUGAUUAAUAGGGAUAGUUGGGGGCAUUAGUAUUCAAUUGUCAGAGGUGAAAUUCUUGGAUUUAUUGAAGACUAACUACUGCGAAAGCAUCUGCCAAGGAUGUUUUCAUUAAUCAAGAACGAAAGUUAGGGGAUCGAAGACGAUCAGAUACCGUCGUAGUCUUAACCAUAAACUAUGCCGA
rnacentral:rRNA from 1 species